rnacentral:rRNA from 1 species
CCUACGGGUGGCAGCAGCGGGGAAUAUUGCACAAUGGGCGCAAGCCUGAUGCAGCCAUGCCGCGUGUGUGAAGAAGGCCUUCGGGUUGUAAAGCACUUUCAGCGGGGAGGAAGGCGUUAAGGUUAAUAACCUUGGCGAUUGACGUUACCCGCAGAAGAAGCACCGGCUAACUCCGUGCCAGCAGCCGCGGUAAUACGGAGGGUGCAAGCGUUAAUCGGAAUUACUGGGCGUAAAGCGCACGCAGGCGGUCUGUCAAGUCGGAUGUGAAAUCCCCGGGCUCAACCUGGGAACUGCAUUCGAAACUGGCAGGCUAGAGUCUUGUAGAGGGGGGUAGAAUUCCAGGUGUAGCGGUGAUAUGCGUAGAGAUCUGGAGGAAUACCGGUGGCGAAGGCGGCCCCCUGGACAAAGACUGACGCUCAGGUGCGAAAGCGUGGGGAGCAAACAGGAUUAGAUACCCGAGUAGUC